rnacentral:rRNA from 1 species
UACGUAGGGUGCGAGCGUUGUCCGGAAUUACUGGGCGUAAAGAGCUCGUAGGCGGUCUGUCGCGUCUGUUGUGAAAACUCGAGGCUCAACCUCGGGCUUGCAGUGGAUACGGGCAGACUAGAGUGCGGUAGGGGAGACUGGAAUUCCUGGUGUAGCGGUGGAAUGCGCAGAUAUCAGGAGGAACACCGAUGGCGAAGGCAGGUCUCUGGGCCGCAACUGACGCUGAGGAGCGAAAGCAUGGGGAGCGAACAGG